GGCAAUGUGGUGUAAUGGCUUGAAGGUUAGACUAUGACUUUGGAGACCAGGGUUUGAAUCCCAGCUCUGCCA